rnacentral:rRNA from 1 species
AGAACGAACGCUGGCGGCAUGCCUAACACAUGCAAGUCGAACGAGACCUUCGGGUCUAGUGGCGCACGGGUGCGUAACGCGUGGGAAUCUGCCCAAAGGUACGGAAUAACUCCUCGAAAGGGGUGCUAAUACCGUAUGAUGUCGCAAGACCAAAGAUUUAUCGCCUUUGGAUGAGCCCGCGUAGGAUUAGCUAGUUGGUGGGGUAAAGGCCUACCAAGGCGACGAUCCUUAGCUGGUCUGAGAGGAUGAUCAGCCACACUGGGACUGAGACACGGCCCAGACUCCUACGGGAGGCAGCAGUGGGGAAUAUUGGACAAUGGGCGAAAGCCUGAUCCAGCAAUGCCGCGUGAGUGAUGAAGGCCCUAGGGUUGUAAAGCUCUUUUACCCGGGAUGAUAAUGACAGUACCGGAGAAUAAGCCCGGCUAACUCCGCGCCAGCAGCCGC